UACGAAGGGGGCUAGCGUUGCUCGGAAUUACUGGGCGUAAAGGGCGCGUAGGCGGCUUGGCAAGUCAAAGGUGAAAUCCCUCGGCUCAACUGAGGAACUGCCUUUGAAACUGCCUGGCUUGAGGCCGGGAGGGGGUAGCGGAAUUCCCAGUGUAGCGGUGAAAUGCGUAGAUAUUGGGAGGAACACCAGUGGCGAAGGCGGCUACCUGGACCGGUUCUGACGCUGAUGCGCGAAAGCGUGGGUAGCAAACAGG
rnacentral:rRNA from 1 species